rnacentral:lncRNA from 13 species
AUGGUUUUGGGACCUGAGCUCGGAGCUGUUUCAUUUCUUCAUGUGGAAGAUCCAGAAGGACGUGAAGCUUUAGAAAAGCUGUGGAGUCGGGACCCUUGGGAAUAUCUUAGUGGAAUAUGCUUGUUCCUGUUGUUCUACACUGUGGUCACCUCUAUCUGCUUCUGGAAACCUAGAAAUGUUCUCCAGACUGUGAAGAGGGUCCUAUCCCAGACUCAUUUUGUGUCUCAUCUGCCAUUGUAUGUGAAGAAAAUGGUAUAGCUCACAGGCUGAUUCUACCUUUGGUGGUCUGUUUAUCUCUACCUGCAUGCCCAGGAAAAGACAGCCCCGCAUCACUUCUGAUUUGGUAAGUUUCCUUUGGGAUGGGAAAACCCAAAAGCCUUAAGCUGAAAACUCAAACCUAACAUGAAUCUGUACCAAACCAAAUAAAUCUGUAGAUCCAUCUGUAUCCAGGUAUCUCCAAAAAAUGGCAAAAGCUUGGAAUAUCCUGGGACAGCAAUCCAGUGAGUCUGUUUUAUAUGAAGGACCAGCUUUAUGGUGUCUUGGUGCCUUUGUAGUUCUCACAUAUCUGCUUAAAGAUAAUGCUAGUGUUAAAAAAAC